UGUUUAUAAUUUAAUCCAUAGUCUUACCUUAAGAAGCUGAAAAUCAACUCCUCUUAUCUUUGGACCAGGAACAGAUGGCAGAACAAACUGCUUCAAGCUUCAGGAACAAAAGGAAAAAAAACUCUGCUCCAAUUGUACUCUAAGUAUGAUGCAUGAGCGUCACAACACCAACUGCCUGCAUAACCAAACAACAGGUUAAUUACAAACAAGGUCACUUGACUCACCGAUUUCCAUCACAUCUAUCUUCAAGGAGUCUGAAGUGGAAUUCCCGAGGGCAUUGGAGGCCACCACUGUCAGGGGGGUUAACAAACGGAUCUGAAACUGAAGAAGAUUCCUGUGGCCUCAGGGUUAAAAACAACACAGAUGAUGUGAUUUAAACCCUCUUUGACUGUACUUCAUUAGCUGUGUGUAACUGCCCUCCCAUCUCUAUGUUGACCCGUUCAUUAACACCUCGCUGACCUUUCUCUCUCAUAAUAGAGGCGGUGUGUUGUUGGCAGACCUCCAUCAGAGCCUGGCUCCCACCAGCAGGAAAACGUCUCCUUCUCAGGGGACCUGCAGCUCAGCAGGACUGGUUUGCCUGGUGGAGACAUGCCUGGCAACAAAUACGACAAAGAGCGUCAGCUUCCAUUUCUCAGAUUGGCACUAACACAAUUAAAAACCACUUUACUUUAACUGGUCCCAUCUCAUCCCCAAUGGAAUGCUGACGCUUAAUGCUGAUUAAAGGUGUUAAAGAUAA